GCCGUGCUGACCAGACCACCCUGAGUUUACUCUCAUCGUAGCCGUUAUUUGAGUCACGACACCCUGGAAUGCGAAGCUAGUUCCCCGCUCUGUCAUUUGCAAUUAAACAGUUUUAAGGUCACUGAAACAGUGUUGCAAGUCUAAAAAGCUCUUAUAACUGGUCGAAGCUAACAUUAC
rfam:Aphanizomenon flos-aquae 2012/KM/D3 mira_16_len:7686, whole genome shotgun sequence.